rnacentral:rRNA from 1 species
UAGGGAAUCUUCGGCAAUGGGGGCAACCCUGACCGAGCAACGCCGCGUGAGUGAAGAAGGUUUUCGGAUCGUAAAGCUCUGUUGUAAGUCAAGAACGAGUGUGAGAGUGGAAAGUUCACACUGUGACGGUAGCUUACCAGAAAGGGACGGCUAACUACGUGCCAGCAGCCGCGGUAAUACGUAGGUCCCGAGCGUUGUCCGGAUUUAUUGGGCGUAAAGCGAGCGCAGGCGGUUUGAUAAGUCUGAAGUUAAAGGCUGUGGCUCAACCAUAGUUCGCUUUGGAAACUGUCAAACUUGAGUGCAGAAGGGGAGAGUGGAAUUCCAUGUGUAGCGGUGAAAUGCGUAGAUAUAUGGAGGAACACCGGUGGCGAAAGCGGCUCUCUGGUCUGUAACUGACGCUGAGGCUCGAAAGUGUGGGGAGCGAACAGGAUUAGAUACCCUGGUAGUCCACGCCGUAAACGAUGAGUGCUAGGUGUUGGAUCCUUUCCGGGAUUCAGUGCCGCAGCUAACGCAUUAAGCACUCCGCCUGGGGAGUACGACCGCAAGGUUG